rnacentral:rRNA from 1 species
UACCUGCAGCUCGAGUGGUGAUCGUUAUUAUUGGGCCUAAAACGUCCGUAGCCGGUCCUAUAAAUGCCUGGGUAAAUCGUAUGGCUUAACCAUACGAAUUCCGGGUAGACUGUUUGACUUGAGACCGGGAGAAGCUAGAGGUACUCCUGGGGUAGAGGUGAAAUUCUGUAAUCCUAGGGGGACCACCAGUGGCGAAGGCGUCUAGCUAGAACGGGUUUGACGGUGAGGGACGAAGCCCUGGGGAGCAAACGGGAUUAGAUACCCCGGUAGUCCAGGGUGUAAACGCUGCUUGCUUGAUGUUAGUCGGGCUCCGAGCCCGAUUAGUGUCGGAGAGAAGUUGUUAAGCAAGCUGCCUGGGAAGUACGGCCGCAAGACUGAAACUUAAAGGAAUUGGCGGGGGAGCACUGCAACGGGUGGAGCGUGCGGUUU